UACAGAGGGUGCGAGCGUUAAUCGGAAUUACUGGGCGUAAAGCGCGCGUAGGCGGCUUUGCAAGUCGGGUGUGAAACCCCCAGGCUCAACCUGGGGACGCCACCCGAUACUGCUGUGGCUAGAGUCCAGUAGGGGAGUGUGGAAUUCCCGGUGUAGCGGUGAAAUUCGUAGAUAUCGAGAGGAACACCGGUGGCGAAGGCGGCGAUCGUGGACGAUGACUGACGCUGAGACGCGAAAGCGUGGGGAGCAACAGG
rnacentral:rRNA from 1 species